CGUAUAUUAAAGUUGUUGCAGUUAAAAAGCUCGUAGUUGGAUUUGUGGCUGGUCACGGCGGGAUGCCCUAUGGGGUGAUCUGUGUUUGUGUCUGCCAUCUUUGGGUGGAAUCCAGGUGUCAUUAGGUUGUCGCCUGGGGGAUGCCUAUCUUUUACUGUGAAAAAAUUAGAGUGUUCAAAGCAGGCUUAUGCCGUUGAAUAUGUUAGCAUGGAAUAAUGAUAUAGGAUUUCGAUACUAUUUUGUUGGUUUGCGUACCGAGGUAAUGAUUAAUAGGGACAGUUGGGGG
rnacentral:rRNA from 1 species